rnacentral:rRNA from 1 species
CAGUCGCCGCGGUAAUACGAAGGGUGCAAGCGUUAGUCGGAAUUACUGGGCGUAAAGCGUGCGUAGGUGGUGGUUUAAGUCCGUUGUGAAAGCCCUGGGCUCAACCUGGGAAUUGCAGUGGAUACUGGGUCACUAGAGUGUGGUAGAGGAUAGUGGAAUUUCCGGUGUAGCAGUGAAAUGCGUAGAGAUCGGAAGGAACAUCUGUGGCGAAGGCGACUAUCUGGGCCAACACUGACACUGAGGCACGAAAGCGUGGGGAGCAAACAGGAUUAGAUACCCCUGUAGUCCCUGUCUCUUAUAC